CCGGCGACCGGCGCACGGGUGAGUAACACGUAUGAAACCUGCCCGUAGCAGGGGGAUAAGCGGAAGAAAUUCCGUCUAAUACCGCGUAACAACCCAUGGAGGCAUCUCUGUGGGUUUAAAGGAAGCGAUUCCGGCUACGGAUGGUCAUGCGUCGCAUUAGCUUGUUGGCGGGGUAACGGCCCACCAAGGCGACGAUGCGUAGGGGUUCUGAGAGGGAGGUCCCCCACACUGGUACUGAGACACGGACCAGACUCCUACGGAAGGCAGCAG
rnacentral:rRNA from 1 species